rnacentral:rRNA from 1 species
GACGAACGCUGGCGGCGUGCUUAACACAUGCAAGUCGAGCGGUAAGGCCCUUUCGGGGUACGACGAGCGGCGAACGGGUGAGUAACACGUGGGUGACCUGCCCUCAGCUCUGGGAUAAGCCCAGGAAACUGGGUCUAAUACUGGAUAUUACUCUGCGGUGCAUGCCGUGGGGUGGAAAGCCUUGUGCGGCUGGGGAUGGGCCCGCGGCCCUAUCAGCUUGUUGGUGGGGUGAGUGGCCUACCAAGGCGACGACGGGUAGCCGGCCUGAGAGGGCGACCGGCCACACUGGGACUGAGACACGGCCCAGACUCCUACGGGAGGCAGCA